AUUACUCCUACGGGAGGCAGCAGUGAGGAAUAUUGCGCAAUGGGGGAAACCCUGACGCAGCGACGCCGCGUGAGUGAGGAAGGCCUUCGGGUCGUAAAGCUCUGUCAAGAGGAAAGAAGUGUACAAUGGCUAAUACCUGUUGUAUUUGACGGUACCUCUAAAGGAAGCACCGGCUGACUCCGUGCCAGCAGCCGCGGUAAUACGGAGGGUGCAAGCGUUGUUCGGAAUCACUGGGCGCAAAGGGCGCGUAGGCGGCUUGGUAAGUCAGAUGUGAAAGCCCACGGCUUAACUGUGGAAGUGCAUUUGAAACUGUCAGGCUUGAGUACCAGAGGGGAAAGCGGAAUUCCCGGUGUAGAGGUGAAAUUCGUAGAUAUCGGGAGGAAUACCGGUGGCGAAGGCGACUUUCUGGCUGGAUACUGACGCUGAGGCGCGAAAGCGUGGGGAGCAAACAGGAUUAGAUACCCUGGUAGUCAAU
rnacentral:rRNA from 1 species